rnacentral:piRNA from 1 species
UAUCAUCGUCAGAUCUAUAUGCGAAGAUC